rnacentral:lncRNA from 1 species
AAAAAAAAAAAAAAAAACUCUUCCAAAAAAGCACCGGUCUGCAGAUGUCUGCAAGAGAAUCAACAAACCCUCCUUCUUCUACGGCAGGGCAGACACAAGAGAUUUGGACUGGACUUUUGUAAAAUAAGGUUACUACACAGUUCUAGGAGACAAAUACAUGGAUACAAAUCAAGCUGGUUUACAGUGUGGAUGUUCAGUUGUGUGUUUGGAAAACUGAAUAGACCGUCAUUGAGUGUCCUCAUCUAGCCCUGCUACGAAAAGCUACUUGAAAGCUCCUUGGGAAAAAUAUACCUUAUGCUGGUGCCAUGCCUUGUUUGGCUCAACUGGGGAAAAAAAAAAAAAAAAAAAAAAAAACAACUUGCUACCUUACUAAAGCUUCUUGAAAAUCAUGUGAAAUAGUGUUUCUCCACUUGACAUUUUUGGAAAACAAGAACAAAAACAGAACAUAAUGAUGGUCUUUUUCUCCCAGGACAUUUCUCAUGUACAAUCAAAUAAAAAAAAAAAAUAUUAAAUUAAACUUGGCUUA